rnacentral:rRNA from 1 species
UACGUAGGUGGCAAGCGUUGUCCGGAUUUACUGGGCGUAAAGAGCGCGCGGGCGGUCGUUCAAGUCGCGUGUGAAAGCCCCCGGCUCAACUGGGGAGGGUCACGCGAUACUGAUCGACUCGAAGGCAGGAGAGGGUAGUGGAAUUCCCGGUGUAGUGGUGAAAUGCGUAGAUAUCGGGAGGAACACCAGUGGCGAAAGCGGCUUCCUGGACCAGAACUGACGAUCAGGCACGAAAGCGUGGGGAGCAAACAGG